rnacentral:lncRNA from 1 species
UAAAAAGGAAGUCUAUAUAAGGAGGGGAACGAGCUUUGUUUAUAGCACAAGUGAAACUCCACUUUAUUGAACGAUGGGGUCUCAAAUGGGCUGCCUCUUUGCCACUCUUUUGGUAGUAUCAGUCUCUCUUAGCUACUUGCCGUUAGAAGCCUCCGCAAACAAAUACUACUACACAUCUCCUCCCCCUCCCAAGUACAAGUCUCCACCACCACCCCCGCCACCGGUUCACAAUUCUCCACCACCACCCCCGGUUUACCUGCCCCCGCCACCUCCUCCACCAGUCUACGUGCCUGCUCCGGCACCAACUCCAAUUUUCCCUUCUCCGCCACCUCCUGUCCCCAAGUCCCCACCACCACCUCACCCUUACGUCUAUGCAUCUCCCCCUCCUCCUUACUACUACUAGAAAGCGGCCAUGAAUAGCUCAUGCUUUUAUGGUAAUCUCAUUUAUUUUUAAAACUGUACAUGUAAAGACUAGUAGUUCAGAAUUACAUUAAGCAUUUCAAUUUUAAGCACCGUGUUCUGUUUAAUUGCGUUCCUAUUGAUUAAGUGACAAAUAAAAGAGAUUGAUUAAUUUGUUCUUGUAGGAGAGGCGAAUGGUAUCCGAAUAAAGAAAGCAAGGGUUUGAUGGAAGGCUUACUUGGAGCAAGAUAGCGAUCAAUCGAGUUGCUGCGUUUUAUUCUCUUUUAUCUUUGUUUUUUAAGAAAAAUAAACUGCCACACGUAGAAACAGAAAAUUAAGUUCUUGUCAUUUUCAUGCAUAUGGAUUGUUGCUGUGUGUGUCAAUCAAAUCUCCGUUGUGUCAUUUGUAAUUUUCAACCUUUAUGCAUGCAAAUGCGAGACCUCUUACGUAUAAUAAAAUUAAUAUACUUCCCAAGAUGGUCUUAUCUUGCGUUGACUUUUUACGUUCCUUUGGUGAUGAUUUUGACGUUUGAAAUUGAUGACUAAUUGACUAUUGUUUUUGUAAACUCUGACAUGGAUUUUUCGUGCAACUACAGAGCGCAUUAACGAGAGACUUAUCCAUGAGGGUCCAUGCAGAUCAGUGUCUAAUUAACCAAUAAUUAAUAUAACUAAAAAAAUAUAGAGUUAACUAUUUUUAUGGGUCAGGCUCAAUUGCAGAUGUUCGUACAAAAUUUCUUGCUAAUGUAUACUUGAGUAUGAUAAUAAGUUUUAAUCAUUAUUAAUAAUUCACUUGAUAAUAUUAAACAAAUUUUCAUAUCAAUUAAGUUACAAAAUUUCUGUGACAAAUUUCCGCGUACUGGAACCAUGCAAAAGGGCUUUAUUCAAACAAAACUGCAUAGCCGUUGGCAAUUAAAAUUAUUUAUCAAUUAAGUUAAGUAGUAAGAAUUGGAUUGUGGAUUCCAUUAAUUAUUUCAAGGAAAAUUUUAUAGAUAAUGCCGUAAUGAAAUUUACGGCAUCAAUACCAUGAUAAAUAUAAAUAUUGUAAAUUACAAAUAGAAUUAGUAAAUGUAAAGUAAAACCAGUAAAUUCAUAAAAGAUUAUUAAUUAUUUAAAAAAUUAACAUUGUUUCUACAUAAUUUUAGUGAAAAAUAUUUUAUUCAUUUACAAAAACAUUUCUUUAAUUAAACAAAAAAAUUCAUUAAUUAAGCAAAAAAAUUAUACUGAAAAAAAAGUGGAAUAAGUUUAAUUGAAUUGGUUAUCAUAAAUUCUAUAUUUAGUCUAGGACAUUUUUAUACAUUUUCUUCCCAUUUUCGAUAAUGAUAUCUAUUUGUUACACAUGUUAAUUAAGUGCAAUUAUUUAUCUUGAUGUGGAUCAAGUAAAAAAAUAUCAUAAAUAAGAUAUCAAUAAAAUUAGAUCUAAUUUUGAAUAUUAUGUAUACUUUAUGUAGUUUCAAACUUUUUACUUGUAUUUGGAGACCAUUUAAGGUUGUUGUUGAAGAAGUGUAGAAAGAUGUAAAAUAACUUCAUCUUACAACAACUAUGAAAGAUAUUAAAAUAAUAAUUUUUUCAAAAUCCGAUUUUGAGAAAAAAAUUCAUCCUUAAUUAAACAUCACAUGUAUUAUAGAAAUGCAAAACUACCAUUGUUAUAUUUAACUUAAAAAAUAAUAAAUAUAUAAGGUAAUAAACAUUAUAAAGAGUUUUUAUUUUAAAAUUGUAAACUUUUGUUUCUGACAAUAACUCUUAUAUUAAUUUAUUUAUUUUGCCUUUUAUUCAUAAGUUUUAUGCAUAAUUUACAAACUUUAAGUUUUAUUUUGCAUUUUAUGUUGAUUUGGUUUUUUUAUAUUAUACGUACAAGUUUUCUUUUUAUUUACCAGUAAUACAUCAAUUUAUCAGCUUGAUAGUAAUUUACUUAUUUUACCUUCCUUUUACAAUUCUUAUGUUUCAUUUCCAAAAUUUAUGUUUUAUUUUACAGUUGUUGAUGAUUUACUAGUUUUAUGUUAUGUUUGCAAGUUUUUGUUUUGUUUACUAGUAAUAGAUUAAUGGGUAAUUUUUAAUUGAGUCCUCAUUAGUUCUAGAAAAACAAUUCAGAGACCAGAAGUUUACUAAAUGAAUCAAUUAAAUUCUUUCAAGUACAAACUAAUGUCAUUCAAGUCCUUAACUUAAUUGGUCAGUUAAAAAUAUUAACAACGUUGAGGACAUUUUAGUAAAACAACAAUUGAGUCGUUUCUCAUUCUUUAUUUUUGACAGGUGGAAAUAGUUUAAAGUAAACUCACUUAACCUGAUUAAGUUAAGGAUCAGUUCUUUCAAAUGAAAAAAAAAAAAAAAACCUACAGAAACUGCCAUAUUCUUCGUGUGGGAGGAGAGAUCGAGAGAACGUGGGAUGGUGCAAAAAAUGUUGUAUAAAUCUACUGUGAUUUUGACCAAAGCUUUGGUAGCAUUGAUUGAGUUCAAGUACUGGAGAGAACCUGAGUUUAAAGGUUAGUAACUCUAUUUUUUUAGUGAUUUCUGCAAGCAUUUUCUGAUAAAAAAUUUUCCGUAUUGAGUGAUCGUUGUGAAAAAUUAAGUUUUUCAAGUCUAUUUUACAAAAUGACAAACUAUGUUUAAUUAUUGAUGGAUUCUUUUUUUUGUUCAAUGUUGUAUUUUGUUAAUUUGUUGUUUUUAAUUUGCUCUUAAUGUAAUUGUUAGACCAAAUACACCAUUAUUAUACCUGUAUUCAUUUCAACAAUUUGGUAUCGUUAUAUUAAUAAGAUUGAAUUCAUUGUAUUUGCUUCUUUGUUCAUGUAAAAUUGAAUUCUAUGUAUUCUUAUGAGUGAUAAUUUUUCUAUCUAUUAGACUAAAUUCACUAUAUUCACUACUUUCUUUCUUUUUGCUGGGCUAUUUUUUCUUUUUAGUUUAUAUUUUUUAUAUGUAUUAGAUUGAAUUUGCUUUUGUACGUUUUUUUUAGCCGAAUUACAUGUAUAUUUCAUUUAGGUUGAGUUUUUUUUGUUGUUUGCUAAAUAAAAUUAUAUUGGUUUAUCCCUUUUUUAUGCAAUACUUUUUGUUUAAAAUUAAUACAGUUAGCCAUGUUACCUUUUUUUUCGGUUAAAAUUAAUGGGGUGAUGUAGGCGAUAGGAUAUAGGGAACCAGAGGAAUAUAAGAUUAUUAGGCUGUUUCUUGAAAUUCAAGAUGUCAUGGUUAAGCAUGGACACAGUGAAAUGGAUUUGAUUGAAAUUUUUGUUGUAUUGCCAUGGACUACAAGUGGCCAGAGGAAGCUAAUUUCAAACGAUAGUGAAUUGUAUUGGGUUUUCGAGGAGUUUUUUUUAAUCAAUAGUUGUCCUGUCAUUGAGUUUGAGGUGCACACUGGGUCAGGUGGUCAGUCAUUUCAUGAAAGUGUUGUAAUAGGACCUGAAAAUCCUGUCAAUAUUAAAAAUUAGUGUUGUAAUAGUGAUAAGUUUGAAAAUGUUGUGGCUAAAAAGGUCUGCCUAGAAUAAUUGGUACUUCUUUAUUUGCCUCAAAGUCCAACACUAUGAAAUCCACAAGGAAAAAGAAUUUAUCCACUUUAACCAGCACGUCUUCAAUCUUGCCUUCAGGAUAAGCAUGAGAUCUGGCAGCACAUUGCAAUGUCACUGUGGUUGGUUUGACUUCUCCAACUCCCAAUUGCUUGAAUUCUGAUAAUGUCAUAAGAUUGAUGCUUGCUCCCAAACCACAAAGUGUCUUGCCACUGUAUUUAGUUCCUAUGGAACAAUGAAUUGUGAAACUUCCUGGAUCCUUCAACUUCUGAGGCAUUUUACUCUGAAGCAUAUGGCUGCAUUCUUGUGUUAGACCAACUAUUUCAAAUUCUCCGAGCCUCAUUUUCCUUGCCAAUAUACAUUUCCAAAACUUUACAUAAUUUGGCAUUUGUUCUAAUGCUUCCACAAAAGAAAUGUUGAUAUGCAGUUCUUUCCAUACUUCCAAGAAUUUACUGAACUGCAUGUCUUGCUUUCGCUUUUGAAAUCUUUGUGGGAAGGGUGGUGGAUGUGUAAAUUGUUGUACUGCAGCAGACUAUACAUAUUGCUUUUCUCUUGCUCUAUUAUGGUAUGUUAUUAUUGGUGUUGCAGCUUCUUCCUCAACAAGCAUUGAAUCAUGUUUUUUUGCAGUUGCUAUAACUUAGCAACUCUCACCAGUGUGCUGGAAAAUGGGUUGUUGUGUCUCUUCUUUAAUUUGAGUUUCCCCUUGGGUUGAAUUAGGUUCCACUCUUCUUUUUGGUACUUUAACAAGUAUAUGAACAUCCUUUCCAAACCUUAAGUUAAUCCCCUUACAAUGCUCUUUUCCUUCUCUCUUUCGAUCCUCUGUAUUGUUUAGUAAAUUGUCCUGAGGUAUGUUGCUCAAUUUUGUAGCAAGCUGUCCAAUCUUAUUCUCCAAGUUUCUUAAAAAUACAGCUUGGCUUUAGACCACUACUCCAAUCUUUACAAUAUACUCCUUAAUCAGAGUUUCAAUGGAACUAAAUUGAUCAUUACUGGUGUUUCUUUACCCUUCAAAUUUCUGGUGAAAAUCAGGUGGCUGAGCAAGUCUGUUCUGUCCACUGGAUGCUGCAGCAUGCUGAUUCUGAUUGCUCCUUUUAAAAUUUGGGUGAUGUCUCCAUCCUAGGUUAUAGGUGUUUGAAAAUGGAUUGCUUUGAUUUUGUUUAUUAAAAUUGCCCACAUAAUUGACGGAAGCUGAAUUCCUAGGACAAUUAUGAUAUAGAUGUCCCUCUCCAUAAUAAACACAAGAGACUUCAGCAAUUUGGUUAACUGUUGCCGGAGCAGUGGCCGUUGCUUUUACCAUAUUUGUCAAUGAGGUUACUUGGGCUGAUAAUGUUGUCAGUGCAUCCACAUUGUGUACUCCUGCUGCUCCUCUCACUGUGGCUUGUCUAGUUGAUGGCCAUUGAUAGUUAUCCUUUCUAAAAUUUCAUAAGCCUCAUUAUAUGAGUUAGACAAUAAAGCCCCUAGUUAUUGAGUUCAACCCAUUGUAGAAAGUUUCCAAUUGUAUGCAAUAAGGAAUACCAUGAUGAGGGCAUCUCCUGAGUAACCCCUUGAAUCUUUCUCAUGCAUCAUACAAGCUUUCAUCUUCAAGUUGAUGGAAAGAUGUGAUCUCAUUCUUCAACUUUGCAUUCUUUGUUGGUGGGAAAUAUUUCAUCAAAAGUUUGUCAGCCAAAUAAUUCCAUGUGGUGAUGGAGUCUGGUUGCAAAGAACUCCACUGUACCAACUAAAAUUGAUUUCACAAAACACAAUAAGCACCAAUCCCCGGCAACGGCGCAAAAAACUUGUUGUCGAUUUUCUAAUGCUAUUAGUGUCAAUGUGAAAAUGUACACAACAAGUAAUAUAACGAUAAGUAUUCACUCCACAAGGAUUAUUAUUAUAGGAAUUGCUACAGUAAUUCUAUCAGUGCCAUUCUUAUUAUAAAUUAGAAUUUAAACAAAUUAUUCAACUAAUGAACUAAGGCAGAUCUUAUUGGGCUAGUCGGCAAUGUGUUGCUUUAGGUCGUGUGGAAUAGUUGCGGGAGUGAUCUUGCAUGAUGUGUGGAGCUAUAACAGUGCUGAGCAUGGGCCAAUCUAUGGGCUCAUGGAACUAGCGAACCUAAUCUAGAAUUUCGAGGAAGAGUACUCUGGUUAGUACUCUAAAUUACCUUAUUAUAUUUUGCACAAACAGAGGCAUGUUAGUGAAAUAAUAUCUAAGCAACCCAAGAGGGGGGUGAAUUGGGUUUCUAAAAAUUAUGCAAUUCUUAAACAAAACUUAAUGCAAAUCUUAAACGAAUUUAAAGCAAUAAUACAUAAAUCAACCAAGGUAUAAAAAGAUAAGGGAAGAGAGAUUAAAACACAGAGAGUUUUACGUGGUUCGGCCAACCUUGCCUACAUCCACACCCCCAAGCACACCGAGCUUGGGCAUUCCACUAGUCAAGCCUUCAAGGCUUCAAGAACACUUACAAUUGACUUCUUAGGUGUCAAUCAACCUUUACAUCUAGAGAUUAUCCCCAAUCUCUUAACCCAAGUGUAUCCCAAUAUUUACAAUCACUCAAAAUAAAGAUUACAAAUUUAUUUUUCUCUCACACAAUUUUUUAAGAUUACAAAUCAACGCUUAAUGUGUGAAUAAAUGAACAAGAAUGAAUUUGAAGCUCAAUGAAUGUUGUAUUCUCGAUUAUAAGCUCAAUGAUAACGUUGUGAUAAGCUCUUGUUUGAAUUUGAUUGAUCUUAUUUAUAGUUGGAGUUGAAAAAUAGCCAUUGUUGACUUUUUCCCGAAAUUGGAUCGCCGUUAACCGUUAUCGGUUAACCGUUUUGACUGGUCCAAGUGACCGUUGAGCUGAAUUUCAAAUAAACGGUUGAUCUUUUGACACUAUCGGUUUGCUGUUAAUUUCCAUAAACCUGUAAAACAAAUUUAUGCUAUUCGUUCUUGCUAAACGGUUGAAGGUCAGCAUGGAAUGACAUUCUAGAAAUUAUUGGUUGGCCGUUUGAAGUUCACGGUUCACCGUUUACUUCUAGAAUCACAGUUUUAACCAAAUUUCGCAGGGAAUGCUUUUUCGGUUAAAGUUAACGAUUAUCCAUAUUUCAUGAACACAUUUAGAAAAAUCAUACGACUUUUGAGAAAUUGUUUAGUAAUGAAAACUCUAACAUUUUAAUCAAAUACAUUUAAAGUUUGUUAUCAUCAAAAUCAAUAUAAUGAACAUCUACAUGUUAACAGUUAGGCCUUGAUUAUUUUUUAAAUCUUAUAAGAUAUAGAGUGAUAAUAGUAACUCAAUUUUCAUAAAACGUGGAAAGAUCAGUCGCCAAAUUUAUAGAUGCCAUAGAAAACCUAGAUUUUAGUAAGGAAUAUCAAGUUAUUUAUACAAUGAAAAUUGUUAAAACUCGAUUAAUUGCAAGGAAACACUUUUAGAGAGAUAUGGAGAGAAUAAACUUUGAAGAUAACAAUGAAAUACAUGACACAUUUAAGGAAGAAAAUAUAAUAGUAUUAAUAGAAUCUAUUUUAACCGGUCUUAAGAUAAUUCAAGAUUGAUGCAAAAUAAAUAACAGGACUCUAAACCGUCCAUAAUAAGUCUAUUGAUUAAUAAUAACAAUAAUAGUGAUGUGAAAUUUUUUAUUCAGAAUGCUCAAUUUAGAUUAUAAUAUCUAUGUGAAAGCAUUGAUGGCAUGUACCUUGGUUAGGAAAAUAGAUUGGACACAUGGAUAUAUAUGUUGGAAGAACAAAUCUAGUUUAUAUCUCAAGAGAGAUAAUAAAUUAUAAAUGACGGUGCUAUAGUAUAUUCAGAUUUUAUAAAUCUUUAUAAAUUUAAUAAUCAUUUAGAUCUUCAUAAUAUUAUAAUAAAACUUUAAAAAACUUUAAAAAUAUAUGUAGAAGAGAUGGAAGAAGAAAUCAUCCAAUUAUUCAAAAUCAAUUAAACAAAAAUAGAAGGUAAAAUCCUUGAAUUAUAUAAAUUAUACAAUUUCACAGAAAUUUUGCAUAUAUUGCGAAACGGUCCUUGUGGCACUAAUUAUGGGACUAGUGUAGCAUAAAUACUAAUAUUGCUUUUUAUUUUGUAAAUUAAUUGUUGCGUCAUAAUUUUUUUACAUACACAUUUUAUGUUUUAAAAUAUGAUUUUUUUUUUGUAUUUAGGGUUAAUUUUACAAUUUCAUACUUUGUUCAAUUAUAUGUACAGGUCCUUCACGUGUUGGUUGAUGUUGAAUAUUCAAAGAUCCACAAGCUAUCAACGACAACGAAUCAAAUUAAACUAAUUAGUUAAUACAUAAUGACUGGGUUGUUUCCUAUGUUGUUAAUGAUGUAGAACGUUAUUUUAGGAUUUUAGAAUUUUAAUUUUUAGGUCUUCUGAUAUUUUCUUUUUUAAUUAAAGUUAGUGUCUUAGUUUUUUAUUUAUUUAUGUUAUAAUUAUAAUUUACUUUCUCUUUUUAAGUUAACUUAGGAAAAUAUAUUUACUGUAUUAUAAAUAAAGAGAUCUUGUUAUUACUUUAUAACUUCAACUUCAGUUAUUCAAUUAAAAACCCCUCUUUUAUAAUUUCCUUUUGUAUUAUCUAUUAAAAACCCCUCUUUUAAAGUUGUUUGAUUAGAGCAUCAUCUAGCCUUGCUUAACGCAGUAUAAAAAAUCCCUUUGAGUUUAAUCACACGUCGAUUAGAGCGUAACUUAAUCGCAUUGACUUGGUCCAUGACUUGAACGAUAUCUAGUGUUUUGCUUCCGCUAUGCCCAAGGAGAAAAUUAAUUUCACCGUGAGAUAAGAGCAUUAAAAGGAAUUCAUAAGAAAUUUAAAUUAAAGCUAUAUAUGUUAAAUAUAUCGCUAGCUACUUGUUUUUGGAGGAAUUAAAACAAUUAAUAAGCUGCGAAGUGAAAAUGAAUAAAUAAAUGAAAUGAGGUUGAAAAUAAGUCUCGCCGCCUGGAUCCAAGGCCAAAACAUUCAUGAUAAGUUAGGUAAUUAAGUACAUGUUUUCAAGCUCUUCAUGAAGAAUAACGUUAUUGAAAUAAAUCACAAAGACUCCCUGCGCAAAUUAUUACAUUGAUUAAAAAAAAAAGCCAUAUCUUUAACAGGAUCGUGACUCUCGGACUGUUAAUUACUUUAUUCCCUGCUUGGCCAACAGCUGGCCACUAAACAAAAUCAUAAAAAUUUUAAAUUUAGUCAAAUUGGUCCCACUUGAUGACAUCCUUUUCAUACAUAAAAUUGUUAACGUCAAGGUUAAAUAUGAGAAGUUUGGUAGAGAAGGUAAAAAGGAAGUCUAUAUAAGGAGGGGAACGAGCUUUGUUUAUAGCACAAGUGAAACUCCACUUUAUUGAACGAUGGGGUCUCAAAUGGGCUGCCUCUUUGCCACUCUUUUGGUAGUAUCAGUCUCUCUUAGCUACUUGCCGUUAGAAGCCUCCGCAAACAAAUACUACUACACAUCUCCUCCCCCUCCCAAGUACAAGUCUCCACCACCACCCCCGCCACCGGUUCACAAUUCUCCACCACCACCCCCGGUUUACCUGCCCCCGCCACCUCCUCCACCAGUCUACGUGCCUGCUCCGGCACCAACUCCAAUUUUCCCUUCUCCGCCACCUCCUGUCCCCAAGUCCCCACCACCACCUCACCCUUACGUCUAUGCAUCUCCCCCUCCUCCUUACUACUACUAGAAAGCGGCCAUGAAUAGCUCAUGCUUUUAUGGUAAUCUCAUUUAUUUUUAAAACUGUACAUGUAAAGACUAGUAGUUCAGAAUUACAUUAAGCAUUUCAAUUUUAAGCACCGUGUUCUGUUUAAUUGCGUUCCUAUUGAUUAAGUGACAAAUAAAAGAGAUUGAUUAAUUUGUUCUUGUAGGAGAGGCGAAUGGUAUCCGAAUAAAGAAAGCAAGGGUUUGAUGGAAGGCUUACUUGGAGCAAGAUAGCGAUCAAUCGAGUUGCUGCGUUUUAUUCUCUUUUAUCUUUGUUUUUUAAGAAAAAUAAACUGCCACACGUAGAAACAGAAAAUUAAGUUCUUGUCAUUUUCAUGCAUAUGGAUUGUUGCUGUGUGUGUCAAUCAAAUCUCCGUUGUGUCAUUUGUAAUUUUCAACCUUUAUGCAUGCAAAUGCGAGACCUCUUACGUAUAAUAAAAUUAAUAUACUUCCCAAGAUGGUCUUAUCUUGCGUUGACUUUUUACGUUCCUUUGGUGAUGAUUUUGACGUUUGAAAUUGAUGACUAAUUGACUAUUGUUUUUGUAAACUCUGACAUGGAUUUUUCGUGCAACUACAGAGCGCAUUAACGAGAGACUUAUCCAUGAGGGUCCAUGCAGAUCAGUGUCUAAUUAACCAAUAAUUAAUAUAACUAAAAAAAUAUAGAGUUAACUAUUUUUAUGGGUCAGGCUCAAUUGCAGAUGUUCGUACAAAAUUUCUUGCUAAUGUAUACUUGAGUAUGAUAAUAAGUUUUUAAUCAUUAUUAAUAAUUCACUUGAUAAUAUUAAACAAAUUUUCAUAUCAAUUAAGUUACAAAAUUUCUGUGACAAAUUUCCGCGUACUGGAACCAUGCAAAAGGGCUUUAUUCAAACAAAACUGCAUAGCCGUUGGCAAUUAAAAUUAUUUAUCAAUUAAGUUAAGUAGUAAGAAUUGGAUUGUGGAUUCCAUUAAUUAUUUCAAGGAAAAUUUUAUAGAUAAUGCCGUAAUGAAAUUUACGGCAUCAAUACCAUGAUAAAUAUAAAUAUUGUAAAUUACAAAUAGAAUUAGUAAAUGUAAAGUAAAACCAGUAAAUUCAUAAAAGAUUAUUAAUUAUUUAAAAAAUUAACAUUGUUUCUACAUAAUUUUAGUGAAAAAUAUUUUAUUCAUUUACAAAAACAUUUCUUUAAUUAAACAAAAAAAUUCAUUAAUUAAGCAAAAAAAUUAUACUGAAAAAAAAGUGGAAUAAGUUUAAUUGAAUUGGUUAUCAUAAAUUCUAUAUUUAGUCUAGGACAUUUUUAUACAUUUUCUUCCCAUUUUCGAUAAUGAUAUCUAUUUGUUACACAUGUUAAUUAAGUGCAAUUAUUUAUCUUGAUGUGGAUCAAGUAAAAAAAUAUCAUAAAUAAGAUAUCAAUAAAAUUAGAUCUAAUUUUGAAUAUUAUGUAUACUUUAUGUAGUUUCAAACUUUUUACUUGUAUUUGGAGACCAUUUAAGGUUGUUGUUGAAGAAGUGUAGAAAGAUGUAAAAUAACUUCAUCUUACAACAACUAUGAAAGAUAUUAAAAUAAUAAUUUUUUCAAAAUCCGAUUUUGAGAAAAAAAUUCAUCCUUAAUUAAACAUCACAUGUAUUAUAGAAAUGCAAAACUACCAUUGUUAUAUUUAACUUAAAAAAUAAUAAAUAUAUAAGGUAAUAAACAUUAUAAAGAGUUUUUAUUUUAAAAUUGUAAACUUUUGUUUCUGACAAUAACUCUUAUAUUAAUUUAUUUAUUUUGCCUUUUAUUCAUAAGUUUUAUGCAUAAUUUACAAACUUUAAGUUUUAUUUUGCAUUUUAUGUUGAUUUGGUUUUUUUAUAUUAUACGUACAAGUUUUCUUUUUAUUUACCAGUAAUACAUCAAUUUAUCAGCUUGAUAGUAAUUUACUUAUUUUACCUUCCUUUUACAAUUCUUAUGUUUCAUUUCCAAAAUUUAUGUUUUAUUUUACAGUUGUUGAUGAUUUACUAGUUUUAUGUUAUGUUUGCAAGUUUUUGUUUUGUUUACUAGUAAUAGAUUAAUGGGUAAUUUUUAAUUGAGUCCUCAUUAGUUCUAGAAAAACAAUUCAGAGACCAGAAGUUUACUAAAUGAAUCAAUUAAAUUCUUUCAAGUACAAACUAAUGUCAUUCAAGUCCUUAACUUAAUUGGUCAGUUAAAAAUAUUAACAACGUUGAGGACAUUUUAGUAAAACAACAAUUGAGUCGUUUCUCAUUCUUUAUUUUUGACAGGUGGAAAUAGUUUAAAGUAAACUCACUUAACCUGAUUAAGUUAAGGAUCAGUUCUUUCAAAUGAAAAAAAAAAAAAAAAACCUACAGAAACUGCCAUAUUCUUCGUGUGGGAGGAGAGAUCGAGAGAACGUGGGAUGGUGCAAAAAAUGUUGUAUAAAUCUACUGUGAUUUUGACCAAAGCUUUGGUAGCAUUGAUUGAGUUCAAGUACUGGAGAGAACCUGAGUUUAAAGGUUAGUAACUCUAUUUUUUUAGUGAUUUUUGCAAGCAUUUUCUGAUAAAAAAUUUUCCGUAUUGAGUGAUCGUUGUGAAAAAUUAAGUUUUUCAAGUCUAUUUUACAAAAUGACAAACUAUGUUUAAUUAUUGGUGGAUUCUUUUUUUUGUUCAAUGUUGUAUUUUGUUAAUUUGUUGUUUUUAAUUUGCUCUUAAUGUAAUUGUUAGACCAAAUACACCAUUAUUAUACCUAUAUUCAUUUCAACAAUUUGGUAUCGUUAUAUUAAUAAGAUUGAAUUCAUUGUAUUUGCUUCUUUGUUCAUGUAAAAUUGAAUUCUAUGUAUUCUUAUGAGUGAUAAUUUUUCUAUCUAUUAGACUAAAUUCACUAUAUUCACUACUUUCUUUCUUUUUGCUGGGCUAUUUUUUCUUUUUAGUUUAUAUUUUUAUAUGUAUUAGAUUGAAUUUGCUUUUGUACGUUUUUUUAGCCGAAUUACAUGUAUAUUUCAUUUAGGUUGAGUUUUUUUUGUUGUUUGCUAAAUAAAAUUAUAUUGGUUUAUCCCCUUUUUAUGCAAUACUUUUUGUUUAAAAUUAAUACAGUUAGCCAUGUUACCUUUUUUUUCAGUUAAAAUUAAUGGGGUGAUGUAGGCGAUAGGAUAUAGGGAACCAGAGGAAUAUAAGAUUAUUAGGCUGUUUCUUGAAAUUCAAGAUGUCAUGGUUAAGCAUGGACACAGUGAAAUGGAUUUGAUUGAAAUUUUUGUUGUAUUGCCAUGGACUACAAGUGGCCAGAGGAAGCUAAUUUCAAACGAUAGUGAAUUGUAUUGGGUUUUCGAGGAGUUUUUUUUAAUCAAUAGUUGUCCUGUCAUUGAGUUUGAGGUGCACACUGGGUCAGGUGGUCAGUCAUUUCAUGAAAGUGUUGUAAUAGGACCUGAAAAUCCUGUCAAUAUUAAAAAUUAGUGUUGUAAUAGUGAUAAGUUUGAAAAUGUUGUGGCUAAAAAGGUCUGCCUAGAAUAAUUGGUACUUCUUUAUUUGCCUCAAAGUCCAACACUAUGAAAUCCACAAGGAAAAAGAAUUUAUCCACUUUAACCAGCACGUCUUCAAUCUUGCCUUCAGGAUAAGCAUGAGAUCUGGCAGCACAUUGCAAUGUCACUGUGGUUGGUUUGACUUCUCCAACUCCCAAUUGCUUGAAUUCUGAUAAUGUCAUAAGAUUGAUGCUUGCUCCCAAACCACAAAGUGUCUUGCCACUGUAUUUAGUCCCUAUGGAACAAUGAAUUGUGAAACUUCCUGGAUCCUUCAACUUCUGAGGCAUUUUACUCUGAAGCAUAUGGCUGCAUUCUUGUGUUAGACCAACUAUUUCAAAUUCUCCGAGCCUCAUUUUCCUUGCCAAUAUACAUUUCCAAAAACUUUACAUAAUUUGGCAUUUGUUCUAAUGCUUCCACAAAAGAAAUGUUGAUAUGCAGUUCUUUCCAUACUUCCAAGAAUUUACUGAACUGCAUGUCUUGCUUUCGCUUUUGAAAUCUUUGUGGGAAGGGUGGUGGAUGUGUAAAUUGUUGUACUGCAGCAGACUAUACAUAUUGCUUUUCUCUUGCUCUAUUAUGGUAUGUUAUUAUUGGUGUUGCAGCUUCUUCCUCAACAAGCAUUGAAUCAUGUUUUUUUGCAGUUGCUAUAACUUAGCAACUCUCACCAGUGUGCUGGAAAAUGGGUUGUUGUGUCUCUUCUUUAAUUUGAGUUUCCCCUUGGGUUGAAUUAGGUUCCACUCUUCUUUUUGGUACUUUAACAAGUAUAUGAACAUCCUUUCCAAACCUUAAGUUAAUCCCCUUACAAUGCUCUUUUCCUUCUCUCUUUCGAUCCUCUGUAUUGUUUAGUAAAUUGUCCUGAGGUAUGUUGCUCAAUUUUGUAGCAAGCUGUCCAAUCUUAUUCUCCAAGUUUCUUAAAAAUACAGCUUGGCUUUAGACCACUACUUCAAUCUUUACAAUAUACUCCUUAAUCAGAGUUUCAAUGGAACUAAAUUGAUCAUUACUGGUGUUUCUUUACCCUUCAAAUUUCUGGUGAAAAUCAGGUGGCUGAGCAAGUCUGUUCUGUCCACUGGAUGCUGCAGCAUGCUGAUUCUGAUUGCUCCUUUUAAAAUUUGGGUGAUGUCUCCAUCCUAGGUUAUAGGUGUUUGAAAAUGGAUUGCUUUGAUUUUGUUUAUUAAAAUUGCCCACAUAAUUGACGGAAGCUGAAUUCCUAGGACAAUUAUGAUAUAGAUGUCCCUCUCCAUAAUAAACACAAGAGACUUCAGCAAUUUGGUUAACUGUUGCCGGAGCAGUGGCCGUUGCUUUUACCAUAUUUGUCAAUGAGGUUACUUAGGCUGAUAAUGUUGUCAGUGCAUCCACAUUGUGUACUCCUGCUGCUCCUCUCACUGUGGCUUGUCUAGUUGAUGGCCAUUGAUAGUUAUCCUUUCUAAAAUUUCAUAAGCCUCAUUAUAUGAGUUAGACAAUAAAGCCCCUAGUUAUUGAGUUCAACCCAUUGUAGAAAGUUUCCAAUUGUAUGCAAUAAGGAAUACCAUGAUGAGGGCAUCUCCUGAGUAACCCCUUGAAUCUUUCUCAUGCAUCAUACAAGCUUUCAUCUUCAAGUUGAUGGAAAGAUGUGAUCUCAUUCUUCAACUUUGCAUUCUUUGUUGGUGGGAAAUAUUUCAUCAAAAGUUUGUCAGCCAAAUAAUUCCAUGUGGUGAUGGAGUCUGGUUGCAAAGAACUCCACUGUACCAACUAAAAUUGAUUUCACAAAACACAAUAAGCACCAAUCCCCGGCAACGGCGCAAAAAACUUGUUGUCGAUUUUCUAAUGCUAUUAGUGUCAAUGUGAAAAUGUACACAACAAGUAAUAUAACGAUAAGUAUUCACUCCACAAGGAUUAUUAUUAUAGGAAUUGCUACAGUAAUUCUAUCAGUGCCAUUCUUAUUAUAAAUUAGAAUUUAAACAAAUUAUUCAACUAAUGAACUAAGGCAGAUCUUAUUGGGCUAGUCGGCAAUGUGUUGCUUUAGGUCGUGUGGAAUAGUUGCGGGAGUGAUCUUGCAUGAUGUGUGGAGCUAUAACAGUGCUGAGCAUGGGCCAAUCUAUGGGCUCAUGGAACUAGCGAACCUAAUCUAGAAUUUCGAGGAAGAGUACUCUGGUUAGUACUCUAAAUUACCUUAUUAUAUUUUGCACAAACAGAGGCAUGUUAGUGAAAUAAUAUCUAAGCAACCCAAGAGGGGGGUGAAUUGGGUUUCUAAAAAUUAUGCAAUUCUUAAACAAAACUUAAUGCAAAUCUUAAACGAAUUUAAAGCAAUAAUACAUAAAUCAACCAAGGUAUAAAAAGAUAAGGGAAGAGAGAUUAAAACACAGAGAGUUUUACGUGGUUCGGCCAACCUUGCCUACAUCCACACCCCCAAGCACACCGAGCUUGGGCAUUCCACUAGUCAAGCCUUCAAGGCUUCAAGAACACUUACAAUUGACUUCUUAGGUGUCAAUCAACCUUUACAUCUAGAGAUUAUCCCCAAUCUCUUAACCCAAGUGUAUCCCAAUAUUUACAAUCACUCAAAAUAAAGAUUACAAAUUUAUUUUUCUCUCACACAAUUUUUUAAGAUUACAAAUCAACGCUUAAUGUGUGAAUAAAUGAACAAGAAUGAAUUUGAAGCUCAAUGAAUGUUGUAUUCUCGAUUAUAAGCUCAAUGAUAACGUUGUGAUAAGCUCUUGUUUGAAUUUGAUUGAUCUUAUUUAUAGUUGGAGUUGAAAAAUAGCCAUUGUUGACUUUUUCCCGAAAUUGGAUCGCCGUUAACCGUUAUCGGUUAACCGUUUUGACUGGUCCAAGUGACCGUUGAGCUGAAUUUCAAAUAAACGGUUGAUCUUUUGACACUAUCGGUUUGCUGUUAAUUUCCAUAAACCUGUAAAACAAAUUUAUGCUAUUCGUUCUUGCUAAACGGUUGAAGGUCAGCAUGGAAUGACAUUCUAGAAAUUAUUGGUUGGCCGUUUGAAGUUCACGGUUCACCGUUUACUUCUAGAAUCACAGUUUUAACCAAAUUUCGCAGGGAAUGCUUUUUCGGUUAAAGUUAACGAUUAUCCAUAUUUCAUGAACACAUUUAGAAAAAUCAUACGACUUUUGAGAAAUUGUUUAGUAAUGAAAACUCUAACAUUUUAAUCAAAUACAUUUAAAGUUUGUUAUCAUCAAAAUCAAUAUAAUGAACAUCUACAUGUUAACAGUUAGGCCUUGAUUAUUUUUUAAAUCUUAUAAGAUAUAGAGUGAUAAUAGUAACUCAAUUUUCAUAAAACGUGGAAAGAUCAGUCGCCAAAUUUAUAGAUGCCAUAGAAAAUCUAGAUUUUAGUAAGGAAUAUCAAGUUAUUUAUACAAUGAAAAUUGUUAAAACUCGAUUAAUUGCAAGGAAACACUUUUAGAGAGAUAUGGAGAGAAUAAACUUUGAAGAUAACAAUGAAAUACAUGACACAUUUAAGGAAGAAAAUAUAAUAGUAUUAAUAGAAUCUAUUUUAACCAGUCUUAAGAUAAUUCAAGAUUGAUGCAAAAUAAAUAACAGGACUCUAAACCGUCCAUAAUAAGUCUAUUGAUUAAUAAUAAUAAUAAUAGUGAUGUGAAAUUUUUUAUUCAGAAUGCUCAAUUUAGAUUAUAAUAUCUAUGUGAAAGCAUUGAUGGCAUGUACCUUGGUUAGGAAAAUAGAUUGGACACAUGGAUAUAUAUGUUGGAAGAACAAAUCUAGUUUAUAUCUCAAGAGAGAUAAUAAAUUAUAAAUGCCGGUGCUAUAGUAUAUUCAGAUUUUAUAAAUCUUUAUAAAUUUAAUAAUCAUUUAGAUCUUCAUAAAAUUAUAAUAAAACUUUAAAAAACUUUAAAAAUAUAUGUAGAAGAGAUGGAAGAAGAAAUCAUCCAGUUAUUCAAAAUCAAUUAAACAGAAAUAGAAGGUAAAAUCCUUGAAUUAUAUAAAUUAUACAAUUUCACAGAAAUUUUGCAUAUAUUGCAAAACGGUCCUUGUGGCACUAAUUAUGGGACUAGUGUAGCAUAAAUACUAAUAUUGCUUUUUAUUUUGUAAAUUAAUUGUUGCGUCAUAAUGUUUUUACAUACACAUUUUAUGUUUUAAAAUAUGAAUUUUUUUUUUUUGUAUUUAGGGAUAAUUUUACAAUUUCAUACUUUGUUCAAUUAUAUAUACAGGUCCUUAACGUGUUGGUUGAUGUUGAAUAUUCAAAGAUCCACAAGCUAUCAACGACAACGAAUCAAAUUAAACUAAUUAGUUAAUACAUAAUGACUGGGUUGUUUCCUAUGUUGUUAAUGAUGUAGGACGUUAUUUUAGGAUUUUAGAAUUGUAAUUUUUAGGUCUUCUGAUAUUUUCUUUUUUAAUUAAAGUUAGUGUCUUAGUUUUUUAUUUAUUUAUGUUAUAAUUAUAAUUUACUUUCUCUUUUUAAGUUAACUUAGGAAAAUAUAUUUACUGUAUUAUAAAUAAAGAGAUCUUGUUAUUACUUUAUAACUUCAACUUCAGUUAUUCAAUUAAAAACCCCUCUUUUAUAAUUUCAUUUUGUAUUAUUUAUUAAAAACCCCUCUUUUAAAGUUGUUUGAUUAGAGCAUCAUCCAGCCUUGCUUAACGCAGUAUUAAAAAUCCAUUUGAGUUUAAUCACACUUCGAUUAGAGCGUAACUUAAUUGCAUUGACUUGGUCCAGUACUUGAACGAUAUCUAGUGUUUUGCUUCCGCUAUGCCAAGGAGAAAAUUAAUUUCACCGUGAGAUAAGAGCAUUAAAAGGAAUUCAUAAGAAAUUUAAAUUAAAGCUAUAUAUGUUAAAUAUAUCGCUAGCUACUUGUUUUUGGAGGAAUUAAAACAAUUAAUAAGCUGCGAAGUGAAAAUGAAUAAAUAAAUGAAAUGAGGUUGAAAAUAAGUCUCGCCGCCUGGAUCCAAGGCCAAAACAUUCAUGAUAAGUUAGGUAAUUAAGUACAUGUUUUCAAGCUCUUCAUGAAGAAUAACGUUAUUGAAAUAAAUCACAAAGACUCCCUGCGCAAAUUAUUACAUUGAUUAAAAAAAAAAAGCCAUAUCUUUAACAGGAUCGUGACUCUCGGACUGUUAAUUACUUUAUUCCCUGCUUGGCCAACAGCUGGCCACUAAACAAAAUCAUAAAAAUUUUAAAUUUAGUCAAAUUGGUCCCACUUGAUGACAUCCUUUCCAUACAUAAAAUUGUUUAACGUCAAGGUUAAAUAUGAGAAGUUUGGUAGAGAAGGUAAAAAGGAAGUCUAUAUAAGGAGGGGAACGAGCUUUGUUUAUAGCACAAGUGAAACUCCACUUUAUUGAACGAUGGGGUCUCAAAUGGGCUGCCUCUUUGCCACUCUUUUGGUAGUAUCAGUCUCUCUUAGCUACUUGCCGUUAGAAGCCUCCGCAAACAAAUACUACUACACAUCUCCUCCCCCUCCCAAAUACAAGUCUCCACCACCACCCCCGCCACCGGUUCACAAUUCUCCACCACCACCCCCGGUUUACCUGCCCCCGCCACCUCCUCCACCAGUCUACGUGCCUGCUCCGGCACCAACUCCAAUUUUCCCUUCUCCGCCACCUCCUGUCCCCAAGUCCCCACCACCACCUCACCCUUACAUCUAUGCAUCUCCCCCUCCUCCUUACUACUACUAGAAAGUGGCCAUGAAUAGCUCAUGCUUUUAUGGUAAUCUCAUUUAUUUUUAAAACUGUACAUGUAAAGACUAGUAGUUCAGAAUUACAUUAAGCAUUUCAAUUUUAAGCACCGUGUUCUGUUUAAUUGCGUUCCUAUUGAUUAAGUGACAAAUAAAAGAGAUUGAUUAAUUUGUUCUUGUAGGAGAGGCGAAUGGUUUCCGAAUAAAGAAAGCAAGGGUUUGAUGGAAGGCUUACUUGGAGCAAGAGAGCGAUCAAUCGAGUUGCUGCGUUUUAUUCUCUUUUAUCUUUGUUUUUUAAGAAAAAUAAACUGCCACACGUAGAAACAGAAAAUUAAGUUCUUGUCAUUUUCAUGCAUAUGGAUUGUUGCUGUGUGUGUCAAUCAAAUCUCCGUUGUGUCAUUUGUAAUUUUCAACCUUUAUGCAUGCAAAUGCGAGACCUCUUACGUAUAAUAAAAUUAAUAUACUUCCAAAGAUGGUCUUAUCUUGCGUUGACUUUUUACGUUCCUUUGGUGAUGAUUUUGACGUUUGAAAUUG